rnacentral:rRNA from 1 species
CAGUCGCCACGGUAAUACAGAGGGUGCGAGCGUUAAUCGGAUUUACUGGGCGUAAAGCGUGCGUAGGCGGCUUCUUAAGUCGGAUGUGAAAUCCCUGAGCUUAACUUAGGAAUUGCAUUCGAUACUGGGAAGAUAGAGUAUGGGAGAGGAUGGUAGAAUUCCAGGUGUAGCGGUGAAAUGCGUAGAGAUCUGGAGGAAUACCGAUGGCGAAGGCAGCCAUCUGGCCUAAUACUGACGCUGAGGUACGAAAGCAUGGGGAGCAAACAGGAUUAGAUACCCCUGUAGUCCCUGUCUCUUAUAC